GAUGAACGCUGGCGGCGUGCCUAAUACAUGCAAGUCGAGCGAACAGACGAGGAGCUUGCUCCUCUGACGUUAGCGGCGGACGGGUGAGUAACACGUGGAUAACCUACCUAUAAGACUGGGAUAACUUCGGGAAACCGGAGCUAAUACCGGAUAAUAUAUUGAACCGCAUGGUUCAAUAGUGAAAGACGGUUUUGCUGUCACUUAUAGAUGGAUCCGCGCCGCAUUAGCUAGUUGGUAAGGUAACGGCGUACCAAGGCAACGAUGCUUAGCCGACCUGAGAGGGUGAUCGGCCACACUGGAACUGAGACACGGUCCAGACUCCUACGGGAGGCAGCAGUAGGGAAUCUUCCGCAAUGGGCGAAAGCCUGACGGAGCAACGCCGCGUGAGUGAUGAAGGUCUUCGGAUCGUAAAACUCUGUUAUUAGGGAAGAACAAAUGUGUAAGUAACUAUGCACGUCUUGACGGUACCUAAUCAGAAAGCCACGGCUAACUACGUG
rnacentral:rRNA from 1 species